rnacentral:rRNA from 1 species
AUGUCCUCUGAAGACACAACUCGUUGCAGUUCGUUCAUCCAUCUUCAACCAGAUUUGUCCUCCUCUUGCCAUUCGCUCCACAUCCAUUUUAGCCUCAGCGAUCUUCCAGUUAAAAACGUACACGCCUCAGCCACCGCUCAAGCCCCUAUAAAAGGACGCGCCUUUCUCUUUCCGUCGCACGUCUCCCUAAUCUCGUCGAAGCCUGUCCUCUCCUUCCUACCUCCCUCCUGGUCCGUGCCUCGACGGCCUCGGUCGCCGGGCCCAAAUAUGGAGGUGGACAUGCAUCCGGAGGCCGAGCGACAGCUCCGCGACAAGUUGAAUUGUUGCUUCUGCGACCUCCGCAUCGCCAUGCCCAUCACGUCCAACGAGCAUAAGGCCUCCCUCCUCGCGGAUGGUGCGGCCUACGUCAUCGAGCUCCACGCGGGCAUGGAGCCGCUCAAGGAGGAUAGCAAACUGCCCGCCGCCGUGAGAUAG